rnacentral:lncRNA from 1 species
CUUUUAUGCUGUGAAAUUGGGCAGGGAGCUCUUGCUGCUUGACUUCUCAGACUUGCAGUUUUUUGUGAUGCAGUUCUCCAUCCUGAACGUCAGCAUUCCUCCUUCCCAACUCUGAGGGUCCAUUUAGUUUUAUUAAAAGAAGUUUUGUUCUAAUUGGUCCCAGCUAGCCAAAGGAGCCAAUACAAUAUGUAUGAGUUGUUCUAGUUAUUCUGCUCUACUAAUCUUUGUCUUCCACUGGUUUAGGAGUAGUGAUUUAGGACAACGUUUUCCUUUCAGGCUGUUGGAAGGAGAGGAUCCCCACAAAGCCCCCUCUAGAAAUACUCUGAUAACACCAAACUGAGAAUUACUUGAAUAGGUUAGAGAUUCCUCAAUUAAUCUGCCUAUUCUUAGCCUGUUUAAUAUUUGCUCUGUGAAUGCUGUACAGUGAGAAAGUUGAAGUAUUUUGUCACAUGCUGUUGAAAAUCUAUUACCUUAUCAAUCAAAUGUGUAAUCUUGUCAGAGAAUGAAAUCGGAUUUAUGCGAUACAGCCUAUUUUCUAAAAUAUCGUGGUGUUUAUUCUUAUCUUUUUGAUUCGUGAUCAGUUUAGUUAGAUACCGUCUUUCUAUUUUUGCUUGGGAUUGAUGUCAGGUGAAUGCCCGGUAAUUACCUAGUCAUCUCACUUGCCCUUUUGAUAAUUGUCACAUGAUCGGCACUCCUUCCAAAGUGCCGAUAACCAGGUAUGCCAAGUGUUAUUAAAAAUGAACGUCGGCAGGGCAGAGCGUUCUAGGCUGUCUUGAGACUGUUGAGUGUAAGUUAACUCCUGAAUUUAAAAAACCUUAUCCAUUAGAGGAAGUCUAAUACCCUCUUCAGGCAGUGAACAGUCUGGAAAUGAUGUCUUAAUCCCCACAGGAUACUUCUUUCCAAACAGAAAACAGAAACGUGAGCCAUUCCCAAACAGUUAGUCCCUGCCACGUUUCCACUCUUUGUUUUCCCUUGAAAGGCCGCAUGUGGCACUUACAUAUUCUAAUACGUAAACGGGCAGCUUGCAGAAAGGCUGGGGAUAAACUGAAGUGGGUAGAAUUGAACUCGGUGUCAAGAAGUAAUGGAACGCUGCAUUCAGUGGACAUGAAGUGUUACAGCUGCCAGAUGACGUCCUAAUGAAACAUCAAAGAAACUGUGAACUGCUGUACUUAAGGGCUCUCUGAAAGAAGUGUCCUCUGAAUUACGGAGCUCCCACUCUGAGAUAUGAAGGAAUUUUGACCAGAGGACAAAAGUGACUUUCAUCUUUUAGACAUCACAGCAGAGGUGCAGUACAAAUCCUAACUUUCAUUAAAAAC